UCUAUGAGGGCAGUGAUAGCAAUAGGACAGUACAAGCAAUGCCCCCCAACUACUGUUUCCAUUCCCUGUCUUACAUAUUUAACUUUCUUUUUUUACGUUUCAGCUUAACCAACUAUGUUUAAACGAAUCAGUAAAGCUUUUCGAAAAUUAUUCCGACGGAACAACAAGGUUGCUCCAUUGAUCUCUAAUGAUACGGAAUCCAGUUGCAAGAUUGUACCUACUCCUCUACACCUUCUUCCGGUGAAUUAUGGGAUUGAAACCCAGAAGAAAGAGGAGAUCAGAG